rnacentral:tRNA from 1 species
GGAGGAUUACCCAAGAGGCUGAAGGGGUCGGUCUUGAAAACCGAAAGGUGCAGAGAUGUACGCGGGGGUUCAAAUCCCUCAUCCUCCGCCA